UGGGGAAUCUUCCGCAAUGGACGAAAGUCUGACGGAGCAACGCCGCGUGAGUGAAGACGGCCUUCGGGUUGUAAAGCUCUGUGAUCCGGGACGAAAGAGCCUGAGGUGAAUAGCCUAAGGAAGUGACGGUACCGGAAAAGCAAGCCACGGCUAACUACGUGCCAGCAGCCGCGGUAAUACGUAGGGGGCUAGCGUUGUCCGGAAUCACUGGGCGUAAAGGGUUCGCAGGCGGAAAUGCAAGUCAGGUGUAAAAGGCAGUAGCUUAACUACUGUAAGCAAUUGAAACUGAAUAUCUUGAGAAGAGUAGAGGUAAGUGGAAUUUUUAGUGUAGCGGUGAAAUGCGUAGAUAUUAAAAAGAAUACCGGUGGCGAAGGCGACGUGCUGGGAUCAUUCUGACGCUAAGGAACGAAAGCGUGGGUAGCAAAC
rnacentral:rRNA from 1 species